UCCGAGUUGACCCCGGCAGUCUCUUAUGAGUCCCCGCCAUUACGCGCUGGCAACACAGGACAAGGGUUGCGCUCGUUGCGGGACUUAACCCAACAUCUCACGACACGCGCUGACGACAGCCAUGCACCACCUGUACACCGACUAAAAGGGGCCACAUCUCUGUGGCUUUCCGGCGUAUGUCAAACCCAGGUAAGGUUCUUCGCGUUGCAUCGAAUUAAUCCACAUGCUCCGCCGCUUGUGCGGGCCCCCGUCAAUUCCUUUGAGUUUUAGCCUUGCGGCCGUACUCCCCAGGCGGGGAACUUAAUGCGUUAGCUGCGUCACGGAAUCCGUGGAAUGGACCCCACAACUAGUUCCCAACGUUUACGGGGUGGACUAC
rnacentral:misc_RNA from 1 species